CCUACGGGAGGCAGCAGUGGGGAAUAUUGCACAAUGGGGGAAACCCUGACCCAGCGACGUCGCGUGAGUGAUGAAGUUUUUUGGUAUGUAAAGCUCUAUCAGCAGUGAAGAAAAUGACGGUACCUGACUAAGAAGCCCCGGCUAACUUCGUUCCAGCAGCCGCGGUAAUACGUAGGGGGCAAGCGUUAUCCGGAUUUACUGGGCGUAAAGGGAGCGUAGGCGGCGGUGGAAGCUAGAGGUGAAAGCCCGGGGCUCAACCCCGGGACUGCAUUUGGAACUGUGCUGCUAGAGUGUCGGAGAGGAAAGCGGAAUUCCUAGUGUAGCGGUGAAAUGCGUAGAUAUUAGGAGGAACACCGGUGGCGAAGGCGGCGUGCUGGACAAUGACUGACGUUGAGGCUCGAAAGCGUGGGGAGCAAACAGGAUUAGAUACCCCAGUAGUC
rnacentral:rRNA from 1 species